rnacentral:rRNA from 1 species
AGAGUUUGAUCAUGGCUCAGGACGAACGCUGGCGGUAUGCUUAACACAUGCAAGUCAAGGAGAAAGCUUCCUUCGGGAGAUGAUUAAACUGGCGCACGGGUGAGUAAUAUGUAAGCAAUCUACCCAUAGGUUUGGAAUAACAUCGAGAAAUCGGUACUAAUACCAAAUGAAAUAAUUCUUUCGCAUGGUUGAAUUAUUAAAGUACUUGAUACGCCAAUGGAUGAGCUUGCAUCUGAUUAGUUUGUUGGUGAGGUAAUGGCUCACCAAGACUACGAUCAGUAGCUGGUCUGAGAGGAUGAUCAGCCACAUUGGAACUGAGACACGGUCCAGACUCCUACGGGAGGCAGCAGUGAGGAAUAUUGGGCAAUGGACGAAAGUCUGACCCAGCAAUACCGCGUGGAGGAUGAAUGUCGUAAGAUUGUAAACUCCUUUUAGAGGGGACGAAAAAACAGGUUGAUAGCCUGAAUUGACGGUACCCUCAGAAUAAGCCCCGGCUAACUACGU